ACGCUAUAAUAUUACAGUGCAAUGGACCGAAAAUAAAAUCACAAGCAUGAUCUGGCGUAUCAUACCAUGCCUAGUGGAAAAUGUCCACCACAGCCCUUUGAAAUUGUUUGACAGACAGAGUGAGAAGUGGAGAAUCGCUCAGUAACUUCAGUCCCAUUCUUCUUCAAGACCAAGCCUCAUUAGAUGACUUUGAACAGAUGCAACAGAAAAUCUGUAUUUCAGAAGUGUGAAAAAUAAAAAGACGGAAAAGAAGCAAGAGACAAAUGCGAGUCCUGAAAGUAACAUGAUGUGUGAAAAAAAAUAAAGAGAGUAAACAGCAA